rnacentral:rRNA from 1 species
AAUACUUAGGAAUCUACCUAUUAAUGGGGGACAACAUUUCGAAAGGAAUGCUAAUACCGCAUACGCCCUACGGGGGAAAGCAGGGGAUCUUCGGACCUUGCGUUAAUAGAUGAGCCUAAGUCGGAUUAGCUAGUUGGUGGGGUAAAGGCCUACCAAGGCGACGAUCUGUAGCGGGUCUGAGAGGAUGAUCCGCCACACUGGGACUGAGGCACGGCCCAGACUCCUACGGGAGGCAGCAGUGGGGAAUAUUGGACAAUGGGGGGAACCCUGAUCCAGCCAUGCCGCGUGUGUGAAGAAGGCCUUUUGGUUGUAAAGCACUUUAAGCGAGGAGGAGGCUACUGGUACUAAUACUACCAGCUAGUGGACGUUACUCGCAGAAUAAGCACCGGCUAACUCUGUGCCAGCAGCCGCGGUAAUACAGAGGGUGCGAGCGUUAAUCGGAUUUACUGGGCGUAAAGCGUGCGUAGGUGGCCAAUUAAGUCAAAUGUGAAAUCCCCGAGCUUAACUUGGGAAUUGCAUUCGAUACUGGUUGGCUAGAGUAUGGGAGAGGAUGGUAGAAUUCCAGGUGUAGCGGUGAAAUGCGUAGAGAUCUGGAGG